UAGUGUUAUUUUUUAAUGGGCAGUAUCUAUUAGGUAGAUUAUGAAAAUUUCUUUUAUUGGUAAUGUAUUUAUGUUUCUUCCAUAAAUAACUAUAACCAAUUUAUAAAUAAGGCAAACAAUUAAGCAUUCAAAUUAAAUCUUCAAAGAUGGUAGAUAAACAUCUGAACAACAAGUCAAUAUUUUCAAUUAAAUUCUCAGAGGAUCAAGAGUUGUGGAACCAUCAAAGCAAGAAAAAAUGAUGAAUAUUAUUGAUCAGGAACAAGUGAGUUCACGUGUUAUCAAUAAAGUUUAUUUAUUCAA